rnacentral:rRNA from 1 species
UCGAUGUCGGCUCAUCACAUCCUGGGGCUGUAGUAGGUCCCAAGGGUUGGGCUGUUCGCCCAUUAAAGUGGUACGCGAGCUGGGUUCAGAACGUCGUGAGACAGUUCGGUCCCUAUCCGUCGCAGGCGUAGGAAAUUUGAGGAGACCUGUCCUUAGUACGAGAGGACCGGGAUGGACGUACCUCUGGUGUACCAGUUGUUCUGCCAAGGGCAUGGCUGGGUAGCUAUGUACGGAAUGGAUAAGCGCUGAAAGCAUCUAAGCGCGAAGCCAACUUCAAGAUAAGAUUUCCCACCGCAAGGGUAAGACCCCAGAAAGACUAUCUGGUUGAUAGGUCGAAGGUGUAAGUGCAGCAAUGUAUUUAGCUUAUCGAUACUAAUAGGUCGAGGACUUGACCAA